rnacentral:rRNA from 1 species
GACGAACGCUGGCGGCGUGCUUAAUACAUGCAAGUCGAACGAGUGGCGAACGGGCGAGUAACACGCCGGUGAUCUGCCUUGCACUUCGGGAUAAGCCUGGGAAACUGGGUCUAAUACCGGAUAGUGCAAGAUGAGCACGCGGCCUAUCAGCUUGUUGGUGGGGUAAUGGCUACCAAGGCGCGAAGGGUAGCCGGCCUGAGAGGGUGCACGGCCACAUUGGGACUGAGAUACGGACCAGACUCCUACGGGAGGCAGCAGUGAGGAAUAGUGCACAAUGGGCGGAAACCUGAUGCAGCGACGCCGCGUGGGAGAUGAGGGCCUUCGGGUUGUAAGCUCCUUUCGACAGGGACGCGGUACCUGUAUAAGAAGCACCGGCUAACUACGUGCCAGCAGCCGCGGUAAUAC